AUCGAUAUUUUUAGCCGAUAUUUGUGGCAUCCUAAUUAAAUAAAAUUUCUCAGUAUUUAAAGUAAAGUUAGUUUCUUAUAUGUUAGAAUAAUAAUAUAAUAUAAAUAGAAGAAAUAACUAGUUGUUCAAUAAUUGUCCCAGCUAUUUAUUUUUAUUCUCAUCUUCUCAUAUUUGUGUAAUCGUCUAUGAGAAGCAACUGGUGGCAUCUACAAGUAUUUGAUUGCCGGUGGUGGAAACAGAUUGUUAUUUAUGAUUUAUAAUUUUGCUUAUAUGUAAUAAUAUUUUGUAUUAUUUUUUAAAAUCUCUAAAAGGUAAUUGAAAUAUAUAUUUAUCAAUUAUAGUAAUGCAAAUACACAAUUUUGACGGACUGAUAAGAAUGGAAUAAAAAUGCUCUUAAUUGGGCUGAUUCAAAACAUUUCUAAUAAGACAAGCACACAGUCUAUACUGUUUGACUAGGCAAUAAUUUCAAUGAUUUUAUUACGAACAUACUGCAAGUGAUCAUCUCGAAGGCUUGGUACCUCUCAUAUGGUAAUAAAUUUGGGUGCUUUUAUUAAAUAUUUAAAAAAGUAUUCUUAUAAAUUUAAAUAUUUAACAUGUGUCAAUGCUAGAAAUACAGAUUUCCAAUUAGGAUUUACCUUGCACUGCG